GAUGAACGCUGGCGGCGUGCCUAAUACAUGCAAGUCGAGCGAACGGACGAGAAGCUUGCUUCUCUGAUGUUAGCGGCGGACGGGUGAGUAACACGUGGAUAACCUACCUAUAAGACUGGGAUAACUUCGGGAAACCGGAGCUACUACCGGAUGAUAUUUUGAACCGCAUGGUUCAAAAGUGAAAGACGGUCUUGCUUUCACUUAUAGAUUGAUCCGCGCUGCAUUAGCUAGUUGGUAAGGUAACGGCUUACCAAGGCAACGAUGCAUAGCCGACCUGAGAGGGUGGACGGCCACACUGGAGCUGAGACACGGUCCAGACUCCGACGGGAGGCAGCAGUAGGGAAUCUUCCGCAAUGGGCGAAAGCCUGACGGAGCAACGCCGCGUGAGUGAUGAAGGUCUUCGGAUCGUAAAACUCUGUUAUUAGGGAAGAACAUAUGUGUAAGUAACUGUGCACAUCUUGACGGUACCUAAUCAGAAAGCCACGGCUAACUACGUG
rnacentral:rRNA from 1 species